GUAUGUUGUUAUUUAAAGUCAACCAUUUAUCAGGCAAACACUUUUUCCCCUCGUAGUUUCCUAGAUAGUUGUGAUCGUUUGGUUGUCAAGUGCUUUCCCCCCCCAAAAGGAGAGAAAAAACACUUAAGUAUAAAAUUCUUUGAUGAUCCCUCCGCAGGUUCACCUACGGAGA
rnacentral:misc_RNA from 1 species